GGGGAUUUAGCUCAGUGGUAGAGCGCUUGCCUAGCAAACGCAAGGCCCUGGGUUCAAUCCCCAGCUCCG
rnacentral:tRNA from 1 species